rnacentral:rRNA from 1 species
UUGGAGGGCAAGUCUGGUGCCAGCAGCCGCGGUAAUUCCAGCUCCAAUAGCGUAUAUUAAAGUUGUUGCAGUUAAAAAGCUCGUAGUUGAAUUUCGGGGUCAGUAGGUUGGUCAUGCCACUGGUAUGUACUGGCCUCACUGAUUCCUCCUUCCUGAUGAGCCGUAAUGCCAUUAAUUUGGUGUUGCGAGGAAUCUGGACUGUUACUUUGAAAAAAUUAGAGUGUUUAAAGCAGGCUAACGCUUGAAUACAUUAGCAUGGAAUAAUGAAAUAGGACAUCCGAUUCUAUUUUGUUGGUUUCUAGGAUCGAUGUAAUGAUUAAUAGGGAUAGUUGGGGGCAUUAGUAUUCAAUUGUCAGAGGUGAAAUUCUUGGAUUUAUUGAAGACUAACUACUGCGAAAGCAUUUGCCAAGGAUGUUUUCAUUAAUCAAGAACGAAAGUUAGGGGAUCGAAGACGAUCAGAUACCGUCGUAGUCUUAACCAUAAACUAUGCCGACUAGGGAUCGGAUGAUGUUAAUUUUUUAAUGACUCAUUCGGCGCCUUACGGGAAACCAAAGUGUUUGGGUUC